CCCUGUGCUCUGCCAUGUGUUUAUGUAAGAGCAGGGAGGGCACUGGAGUCAGCAAUCAGCUGCAUGCCUCCUGAUCUCCCCUUCCCCUUCUUCUCCUGCAUCUGUAAACAAGACCAGUAUUUACUCUGGUGAUUAGGUACAAAACUAAUCCCAGGCCAGGGAUUUAUUGCAGCCUUAAACAGCCAAGACCUCAAACAGCCCCCAGUGUCGGGAUGGAGAGCUGAGAGUUCCCAUCCCAUCUUCCUUCCCAGGAUCUCCAACACCUUCCAGAUGGGGAAACUGAGGCACAGAUGUGCAGCAACUCACCCACAGCAAGUCUGUGGCAGAGUCGGGAAUAGAACCGAGGAAUCCUGCCUCUCUGCCCGACACAGCGCUAUACACCACAUACUUUAUGUAAUAGUGAUAGGAUGUGGGAUGGACUGUCUGACAAGGGGCUUUUAUCAUACACUGCACUGCACUCUGCCCACUGAUGCACUCCACUGAAACAACUUCCGACAUCCCAACCACACUGCCACCAGAAAUGUUCCUCCCCCAGCCCCCCAAGCGAAGUGCAGGAUGGACGUCAUUUCACCUUAGGCAGGGGACAAGUUUAAGGGCUGGAACCCUCAAGUGCUAGAAGUGUUUGCUUCCUCCUGUUGUGGACUUUGGAAUUUCCCCAUCCCAACAGGUUCAGCACUUGUUGGUAACCUGGGUAGUUUGUGAGAUCUCAGACCUUAAACGCGGAUUUAAAGGGAACUGAGUUUUGAUCGUUUAUUUUCCAGAUCUUCAAGUUGGAUUUAUUAUUUUCCCCCUUCUGAGGCUGGAGAAGUUGGAAUCCUGGCACCCAGACAGUCUGGUUUUUCCAGCAGAGGGCUGCAAAUGCUUAGCUGUCUCUGAUAGGUUUUGGUAAAAUGUGGCAUUAGCCAAAGCAAAGAGCAACCAAUUGUAUGGAAAUCAAAACAUGAAUAAGUGCCCCUUGCUCCCCUUCUAGGAGGAUUUCUUUCUUCUCUUUCUUACAAAAAUAGGAAAACCAAAGAUGAAACUGUUACAAUGGGAUGUCACAGUGGGAUCUGCAGCUCUAAACAGCUUGCUGGGUGACUGUAGCUGGGUAUAAAAGGAUUGGUCAUCAUUAGGGUUCAGAGUUAACAAACCAAAUUGUGUUGGGGCAGUUCCCUGCAUUGGCCAAGAAGGGGUUAAAGAGUGCUUCUGAUUACAUUUAGACCCAGCCUGCCGCACCUGUGAGGCUUAUCAAGCCUGGGGACCGUGGCCCUUUAAAAGGGAGGAUCCCAGCUCAGUGAGAGGUGGCACUCUGAAGCAAGCAGGAUUGGAAUACAGGGCUUCUCCUUUCUCCUACUUACUGGGGAGAGCGCUUUAGUCUCAGAAGCCCUGUCAGUAAGGGGAGUGGCUGGCUUUGGAGCCCUGGAACCCCGUUUAUUUGGAUGCUCAGGGGACUACUGUGAAUGCCUGGAAGGGGGCAAACUCCCUAAGAGACACAGCUGGAAGGCUGUGCCCUGGAUUCUGAAACCCAUCUAAGGAAAGCUCAGUUUCUGCCAUAAUCAUAGGACUCCGGGAGCUGGGACUUUAAGAGGACCACCAAAUACCACAAGACUUGUAAUAAAAUCAUGAGAGCAGGCAAGGUUGCAGAGUGGGCUGUGUGGUCUUGUUCUGUCCUUCCACUGUGUUUAGCUUGUGAGCAGGUUUCUUGCUGAAUGGCCAACCCCAAGUGUUACAAAUUAGCUUAAAAAUCAUGAAUUUAAGAAUAAAUUGUGGGUUCUUUUUA